UUGAACGCUAGCGGCAUGCUUAACACAUGCAAGUCGAACGGCAGCAGACGAUAGCUUGCUAUUGUGCUGGCGAGUGGCGAACGGGUGAGUAACGCGUAGGGAUCUACCUUAAAGUGGGGACAACCCGGGGAAACUCGGGCUAAUACCGCAUAAGCUCUCAGGAGUAAAGAAGGCCUCUGUAUAUGCUUUCGCUUUAGGAUGAACCUGCGUCCGAUUAGCUUGUUGGUGGGUAAAGGCCUACCAAGGCGACGAUCGGUAGCUGUUCUGAGAGGAAGAUCAGCCACACUGGGACUGAGACACGGCCCAGACUCCUACGGGAGGCAGCAGUGGGGAAUAUU
rnacentral:rRNA from 1 species